rnacentral:rRNA from 2 species
UGGGGAAUUUUGGACAAUGGGCGAAAGCCUGAUCCAGCCAUGCCGCGUGCAGGAUGAAGGCCUUCGGGUUGUAAACUGCUUUUGUACGGAACGAAAAGACUCCUUCUAAUAAAGGGGGUCCAUGACGGUACCGUAAGAAUAAGCACCGGCUAACUACGUGCCAGCAGCCGCGGUAAUACGUAGGGUGCAAGCGUUAAUCGGAAUUACUGGGCGUAAAGCGUGCGCAGGCGGUUAUAUAAGACAGAUGUGAAAUCCCCGGGCUCAACCUGGGAACUGCAUUUGUGACUGUAUAGCUAGAGUACGGCAGAGGGGGAUGGAAUUCCGCGUGUAGCAGUGAAAUGCGUAGAUAUGCGGAGGAACACCGAUGGCGAAGGCAAUCCCCUGGGCCUGUACUGACGCUCAUGCACGAAAGCGUGGGGAGCAAACAGG